CGGAAAGGGCACCCGACCAGGGUCACGGAGAGAGCCGAGCGGCUUCGCAAAAGACCGAAAAGAGCCGGAGAGACCCGAGUAUGACCGGAGAGGAGCAGGCUGGCCGGAAGCGACCCGAGCUCAGCCGGAAGGAGCCGAGUCCGCCCGAAGGGGCCUGAGCGCGCCUGGACGUUGGGCUUGGCCCCGCCGGCGCCAUGGCUGCCGAGGGGACAGCUGUGGCCGGAGGCGGGGCUGUCGGCGACCGGCUGGCCAAGGACAGCUUGCAGCAGUCUCAGUGCCCGGACGCGGCCCCGAACAGGCGGCGCGGCUCGUCGCUGUCGCGUGACGCCGAGCGCCGAGCCUACCAGUGCUGCCGGGAGUACUUGGGCGGGGCCUGGCGCCGAGUGCGGCCCGAGGAGCUGAGGGUUGACCCUGUGAGCGGAGGCCUCAGUAACCUGCUCUUCCGCUGCUCGCUGCCGGACCACCUGCCCAGCGUUGGCAAGGAGCCCCGGGAGGUGCUGCUGCGGCUGUACGGGGCCAUCCUGCAGGGCGUGGAUUCCUUGGUCCUGGAAAGUGUGAUGUUCGCCAUCCUGGCAGAGCGGUCGCUGGGGCCCCAGCUCUAUGGAGUCUUUCCAGAGGGCCGGCUGGAACAGUACAUCCCAAGCCGGCCGCUGAAAACCUGUGAGCUUCGAGAGCCGGUGCUGUCAGCAGAAAUCGCCACGAAGAUGGCCCGGUUCCAUGGCAUGGAGAUGCCGUUCACUAAGGAGCCCCACUGGCUGUUUGGGACCAUGGAACGGUACCUAAAGCAGAUCCAGGACCUGCCCCCCACAGGCCUCCCCCAGAUGAACCUGCUGGAGACGUACAGCCUGAAGGAUGAGAUGGGCAACCUCAGGAAAUUGCUAGACUCUACCCCAUCACCAGUGGUCUUCUGUCACAAUGACAUCCAGGAAGGGAACAUCUUGUUGCUCUCAGAGCCAGAAAACACCGACAGACUCAUGCUGGUCGACUUCGAAUACAGUAGUUACAACUACAGGGGCUUUGACAUUGGGAACCAUUUUUGUGAGUGGGUUUAUGAUUAUACUCACGAGGAGUGGCCUUUCUACAAAGCGCAGCCUGCAGACUACCCCACCCGGGGGCAGCAGGUAUGUGGACCGGAGGCUGGGGAGCAGGACCUGGCCUGUGAGGGAGAAGGAAGCUCCAUUUUAUUCGACAUUACCUGGCAGAGGUCAAGAAAGGUGAAACCGUCUCCCAAGAGGAGCAGAGGAAACUAGAAGAAGAUUUGCUGGUAGAGGCUAAUCGAUACGCUCUGGCAUCCCAUUUCUUUUGGGGUCUCUGGUCUAUCCUCCAGGCAUCUAUGUCCACCAUAGAAUUUGGUUACUUGGAGUAUGCCCAGUCACGGUUCCAGUUUUACUUCCAGCAGAAAGGACAGCUGAGCAGCUUCCACCUCUCAUCUUGACUCUCCAGCCCCCAACUCCUCAGAUUGCUCCUGGAGCCUCCAGGGCAGGACCUUGGAGGGAGGGGCAAAGAGCAGGAGGCUCUGGGGACUGGGCUGAGCUCUGGAGUGAACCUGGGGUUGAGAAUGCUGACCUCUCCCCACAGCAGGGAGAUGGUGGGAGAGAGCCCCUGGGCUGUGUACCUGAAGACAAUAAACAAGCUUCCUCCUUCA